UACGUAAAAAGACUAGUGUUAGUCAUCUUUAUUAGGUUUAAAGGGUACCUAGACGGUAAAUUAAACCCCUAAAGGGUACUUUUUACUAGAGUUUUAUAAGAGAAAGGGAGAAUUUUUAGAGUAGAGAUAAAAUUCUUUGAUACUAAAAGGACUGGUAAGGGCGAAAGGCUGCUUUCUAUGUAAAAACUGACGUUUGAGGGACGAAGGCUUGGGUAGCAAUAAGG
rnacentral:rRNA from 1 species